UUUUUUGAAUUAGUGCUGUAUUUGUCAUCCCUGGAUGCAAAACUAUGGAAUAUUGGCAUGUGCAGGUCCCUAUUACUGUUACUGUUUUUCCUGCAGUUAUUAUUUUAGUAUUAUUAUUAUUUUCCUCUUAUUGGUGUUCAUGGUAGGAUUGCUGCAAUCAUUCAAUAAUAGUGUGUUUCUAAGCCAGAGGUACAUCUGACGGAGUUCAGUGUGGCUUACGCUCUAGUAGGUGAGAGCAUUCAUUCAUUCAUUCAAACUUUUAUACCACCCAUGUGGCUGCCAAGGCCACUCUGGGCAUUUCACAAUAUAGUAACACAACAGACACUUUAAAGCACUACACAGAAAAACUAUAUGAAACCAAAAUAAGACAGAGCUCCAGCCCCGAAUCAUACUGCCAAAGACAGAAUUGCUGGUUCUCCUGUUUUCUCUACUUUGCACAGAUGGGACAACUUAGCAUCAAUUUGUUGACAUCUUCCUGGUUAAUACUUACCAGUGCAGGAUCUUCCUCCUUUGAGAUGUGAACUUGAAUACAAGAUCUUGAAUCCCAACAUCUGAAGUUGGACUAUCUUUUGGAAAGAUGCUCACACUUUGAGUCUGAAGAGAAAGAGAAUUCCAAAUUUGCGAACAGCCAACACCAAUGCCUGCCCAUUGCAACAAAAUACGUUAAGAAUGUGGAUGUGGUUGUUUCCAGAGGUUGGAACAAGCUUAAAGGUGUGCUCAUGUGAGCAAAUGGAGAACAAGCAUACCAACAAGACCAAGAACUGGCACAAGGACUUGCAAGAAAUGUGGUGUGUGUGUGUGUGGGGGGGAGAAAUCCCAAAAGAUUGAGAUGGACAUAUUCUGUACACACUGAGAUCUGUUCUCCUACAUCUUUCUCCACGAGGACAGCCCCACAGCACAGAGGAUUACCCUCCUAUUUACAACUCAUUUUAGCUGCUUCCUUUCUUUACGACCCAGACAUUUUUCCAGUGGUUUUAAUGUUGGACCAGUUCAUGCCUGCUUACACCUUGGUUCCUCUUGAUACUUUGGACUUCCAAAACAUGAAAUGUCCAAGCUGUAGGCAACUGUUGCUUAUCUGAUUCUUGCCAACACACUUUAGUGGCAUGCUGGACAGUCCUGCACUUUCUUCUCUCUGGCACAAGAAUCCUUUUUCUAUAUUUCUGUUUCUUUCUGUGAAUUAUUGGUUCAUUUGACUGAUCGAUUUUAUUAAAUUUGUAUUCCCUCCCCCAAUUAGUGCAGAUGUACUACUACUCUGUGAAGUUUACGGUCAACAAAAACAAUACAGAUAAAUAAAAAUGAAACACACGUGUAUAUAUCGCCCCAUCAAUGCACACACUACAAGUCUAAUAUUUAUGCUAUUCGUUGGGUUAGCAACAACCUCUAGAGAUCCAGUUCAACUCUAUUGCAAGAGGAUGGUCAAAGGAAGAAAGGCAGUUCAAGAAAUAAUCUACAGUAUAAUGCAAUAUCCCUGGACCCACAGCACUAGCCCAUUCUGGGCUGUUAAACAGUAAUCCGGUUGGUGAAUGAAUGGUUGGUAGUUCGAAAGUUGACAGUCCUUCAACUAAAAAGCAGUGACAGUAAGCAAG